GACGAACGCGGCGGCGUGCCUAAUACAUGCAAGUCGAACGAACCGCGACUAGGUGCUUGCACUUGGUCAAGGUGAGUGGCGAACGGGUGAGUAACACGUGGGUAACCUACCUCAUAGUGGGGGAUAACAGUCGGAAACGACUGCUAAUACCGCAUAGGACAUGGGAUCACAUGAUUCUGUGAGGAAAGGUGGCGCAAGCUAUCGCUAAGAGAUGGACCCGCGGUGCAUUAGCUAGUUGGUAGGGUAAAGGCCUACCAAGGCGAUGAUGCAUAGCCGACCUGAGAGGGUGAUCGGCCACAUUGGGACUGAGACACGGCCCAAACUCCUACGGGAGGCAGCAGUAGGGAAUCUUCCGCAAUGGACGCAAGUCUGACGGAGCAACGCCGCGUGAGUGAAGAAGGUCUUCGGAUCGUAAAGCUCUGUUGUUAGAGAAGAACAGCGCAUAGAGUAACUGUUAUGCGUGUGACGG
rnacentral:rRNA from 1 species